rnacentral:rRNA from 1 species
CCCUUCGUACGGGAUGCACCAGUGGGGAAUUUUGGACAAUGGGCGCAAGCCUGAUCCAGCAAUGCCGGGGGAGUGAAGAAGGCCUUCGGGUUGUAAAGCUCUUUUGUCAGGGAAGAAACGGUCGAGGUUAAUACUUUUGGGUAAGGACGGUACCUGAAGAAUAAUCACCGGGGA